rnacentral:rRNA from 1 species
GAGGAGCCUGCGGCGGAUUAGCUAGUUGGUAGGGUAACGGCUUACCAAGACAACGAUCCGUAGCCGGCCUGAGAGGGCGGUCGGCCACACUGACACUGACAUACGGGUCAGACUCCUACGGGAGGCAGCAGUCGGGAAUUUUGGGCAAUGGGCGAAAGCCUGACCCAGCAACGCCGCGUGAAGGAUGAAAUCCCUCGGGAUGUAAACUUCGCAAGAACGGGAAGAAUAAGUCUGUGUGAAUAUCGCAGAUGAUGACGGUACCGUUUGUAAGCUCCGGCUAACUCCGUGCCAGCAGCCGCGGUAAUACGGGGGAGCAAGCGUUGUUCGGAUUUAUUGGGCGUAAAGCGCGCGCAGGCGGUCCUUUAAGUCUGAUGUGAAAGCCCACGGCUCAACCGUGGAGGGUCAUUGGAAACUGGGGGACUUGAGUGCAGAAGAGGAAAGCGGAAUUCCACGUGUAGCGGUGAAAUGCGUAGAGAUGUGGAGGAACACCAGUGGCGAAGGCGGCUUUCUGGUCUGUAACUGACGCUGAGGCGCGAAAGCGUGGGGAGCAAACAGGAUUAGAUACCCUGGUAGUCCACGCCGUAAACGAUGAGUGCUAAGUGU